GUUUUGUAAGGUUAAAUCGACCCUCCUUCGACGAAAAGGGUAUCGCGCCAUAACCAAUGGCGCAACCAAGACUACUAGUCCGGAGCACCAUCCGCGGCAGCUUCAACUCAUCCGCCACGGCUUGCGUGAAGUAGAACAUGGCAUCCGCGAUCAAACAAGCAACCGGUUCCUCAUCCAACAACUCAAUCAAACAACCCUUAAACGGAUCUUCACAGCUUCUAUUAAGGUACUUAAUGAAAUAGCUGGGAUCUCGAUUCGUCGACCGCAGGUGAUCGACCUCGGAAAACCGGUCUUCAAUGGCCCGGAAACGGAACUGAGGGUAGCUUGAAUGAUUUGGAGAGUUGUAUUGGGUGUGUAGUGGAAAUAAGAUUAUUCUCCGGUGAGUCUCCGGCAACCGGUGAGUUGUGUUUUUAUCAUGUGACUCCAUGUUUUGGUUUUUGUGCUGCUAACGCACAAAAAAACCUUAUUUGUUGCUUGCAUAGAAUAUUUAACGGUUAAAGUGCUAGGAAUAAACCUUAUAUGGGUAAAAACAUAAUAUAUGACCUGAAUUAUAUUUAUUUUAAUUUUAUGUAUUUACAUUUGAGUAUCUAUUCUUUCACGAAAAAUACAAACAUAUUUUUAGUACUUCUAUAGUCCUGGCAAUUAUAACUGUUUUUGUUUUUUAUAUACUUUUUUAUAUUUCUAAUCAUACGCUAAAAAUUACAUCAACUUAAUUAGCUAUAUAAAAUACUUUUGCAACAUAACUAAUUUUAAUAAAAUAUUAUACUAAAUUAACUCUUAUUUACUUUUACUAUGUACUAAUAUACUAGUCC
rnacentral:lncRNA from 1 species